UCCACAGUCUCCCCUUAAGAAGUCCUGACUGCACAGCCCCUCACCAUGGACUAGAGCUGGAGAGCCCUCUUCCUGGUGGCAGUGGCUACAGGUGUCCACUCCCAGGUGCAGCUCAUGCAGUCUGGGGCUGAGGUGAGGAAGCCUGGGACCUCAGUGAAGGUCUCCUGCAAGGCUUCUGGAUACACCUCCAGCAGCUACUGGAUGCACUGGCUCACAGAACAAGGAUCUUCCCAUGUGU